AUCGCGCUUCCCAUUUCUUUAAACCAAGUCAUCGUCUCCCCUGUAACCGCCUCCCUCCUCCAUCAUGAGUCUGUUGAUCUCGUCCUCCCUCUCUCCGUCGUCCUCUCUCUUCGAGGAACCCUUACUCGCCCAGUCCUUUCUCCCUCCCCCCUUCGAUCUCGUAUGGGGGGAGGUUCGGGUUCGGCCCCUCGUCGGUGGCCGACUCAAUGAUCGUGGUGAACACGCCGAGCCAGGAUCUGGUCCUCACCAACUUCGCCUACUGCUCCUCCACGGAUCUUGACAAGUACGCCGCACCCGGGUCCAAGAACGUCCUCGUCCUCGUCCUCGUUGGAUAUUCGUUGGAUGCUGUACUUAUCUCUCAACUUCAGAAAAAAUUUAUUGACCAGUUAAUCAGCGUGAAGCUGCCAGCAGCAAAAUUUUCCAUCAUAAAGAGUUCAACCUUCAGAAGCUAGGAAUUGGAGGACUAACCGUUGGAUUCAUUGAAAAUUUUCGACGAGCAUUUGCUUCUCGAGUUUUUCCUCCCAAUGUUGUUGAUAAGUUAUUUUUGUGCAUACUUUUAAGUUGUCAACAUAAAAAAUGUCUAAGUCUUUAUUCCUUUCUGAUUGUUAGAUCCUCGAGAUUAGGUAUCAAGCAUGUGAAAUGAAUGUUGCUUUAUGGACCGCCAGAUGCGGAAGCUGUUGAAUGGCAAGGAGCUAAAGGCCUUUCAAAUAGGGAGUGAGAUAUCAGCAUCGACUGCAAAGCUUCUUUGAUGCUGUCCCAUCUUCAUCAUCACUACAGUAAGAUGACUUGGAUGAGGCCUCCAAAGGAGGGGUGAAGUCGACGAUACGAACGAUGUUGGAUAGGCCUUGGAAGGAAGGGUAUGUGUCUUGGUACUUGAGGAGGUCGGUGGCAACCAUCGAACUCAGAGUCCUAAGCAUAAAUUCUUCCCUUUGAGACCUCAUCCAACAUCGCUCAAUAGCCGAAUGCUCAUGGACACCCUCUUUCGUGAAUCAGGAAGAACAUAUUUUUGCAACCCAAAGCAGAAGUUAAAUAGACAAAAGUCGUCCUACUGAAUCACUACUAUUACGUGAUCAAACAUGCAUGAUUCAUGCAUCGCAAGAAUACUAAGUUUCAGUUCAUGA